rnacentral:rRNA from 1 species
AAUAGUUUUUUAAAUGGAAACUGGUAUGAAUGAAGUGAUGAAAUUUAUACUGUCUUAGAUUAAAUUAUUAAAUUUAUUAAUUAAGUAAAAAAACUUAAAUGAAGAUAUGGGACGAGAAGACCCUAUAGAAUUUUAUAUAAAUUUUGUAAAAAAUUUAAUAUGUAUUUUAUUAAAUUUAUAUUUUAUUGGGAGGAUGAUUAAAUUAAAUAAACUUUAAAAUUAAAAAAAUCCAUUAAUUUAUGAAUUAUAGUAUAAAGAAUGGCUAAAUUAAGUUUAAUUAGAAUUAAUUACCUUAGGGAUAACAGCGUUAUAUUUUUAGAGAGACCUUAUUAAUAAAAAUGUUUGC